rnacentral:rRNA from 1 species
ACCGACCGCUAUCGGGGUAAGGCUAAGCCAUGGGAGCCGAACGCCCCGCCGCUGCGGGGCGUGGCGCACGGCUGAGUAACACGUGGCUAACCUACCCUCGGGAGGGGGAUAACCCCGGGAAACUGGGGCUAAUCCCCCAUAGGCGGGGAGGCCUGGAAUGGUUCCCCGCUGAAAGGGGCCACGGGGGAUCGCCCGUGGCACCGCCCGAGGAUGGGGCUGCGGCCCAUCAUGGUAGUUGGCGGGGUAAUGGCCCGCCAAGCCGACGACGGGUAGGGGCCGUGAGAGCGGGAGCCCCCAGAUGGGCACUGAGACAAGGGCCCAGGCCCUACGGGGCGCACCAGGCGCGAAAACUCCGCAAUGCGGGCAACCGUGACGGGGUUACCCCGAGUGCCCCCCUCGUGGGGGCUUUUCCCCGCUGUAAGUAGGCGGGGGAAUAAGCGGGGGGCAAGACUGGUGUCAGCCGCCGCGGUAAUACCAGCCCCGCGAGUGGUCGGGAUGUUUACUGGGCCUAAAGCGCCCGUAGCCGGCUCGACAAGUCCCCCCAUAAAGCCCCGGGCUCAACCCGGGGACCUGGGGGGAUACUGUCGGGCUAGGGGGCGGGAGAGGCCGAGGGUACUCCCGGGGUAGGGGCGAAAUCCAUUAAUCCCGGGAGGACCACCAGUGGCGAAGGCGCUCGGCUGGAACGCGCCCGACGGUGAGGGGCGAAAGCCGGGGGAGCGAACCGGAUUAGAUACCCGGGUAGUCCCGGCUGUAAACGAUGCGGGCUAGGUGUUGGGCGGGCGUGAGGGCCCGCCCAGUGCCGCAGGGAAGCCGUUAAGCCCGCCGCCUGGGGAGUACGGCCGCAAGGCUGAAACUUAAAGGAAUUGGCGGGGGAGCACCACAAGGGGUGGAGCCUGCGGCUU